AUGCACAGUGAACACCUAGGUUUGCCGUAUAGUACCCUUGGUUUUAAUUUUGUGCUACAGCAAUGGUUAUUCUUUACCUCUGCAUUAAAAAAAAAAAACUAUCCUUUUAAGUGUAUUCAGAAAAUCAGCACAUUA